ACACGCUGGCGGCGUGCCUAACACAUGCAAGUCAAGGAGAAUUCCCGACUUGUCGGGAUAGUAAACUGGCGAACGGGUGAGUAACACGUAGGUAAUCUACCCUCGGGAUCGGGAUAACCUUGCGAAAGUGGGGAUAAUACCGAAUAAAGUCUCGGUAUAAUUUGUCGAGAUGAAAGAUGGGGAUCUUCGGACCUAUUACCUGAGGAUGAGCCUGCGCCUGAUUAGCUAGUUGGUAGGGUAAAUGCCUACCAAGGCAACGAUCAGUAGCUGGUCUGAGAGGAUGAUCAGCCACAUUGGGACUGAGAUACGGCCCAGACUCCUACGGGAGGCAGCAGUGAGGAAUUUUGCGCAAUGGGCGAAAGCCUGACGCAGCAACGCCGCGUGACUGAUUAAGCUCUGAGGAGUGUAAAAGUCUGUCGUAGAGGAAGAAACUAUCCGAUAAGAAUAUUGUCGGAUACUGACGGUACUCUAUGAGAAAGCUCCGGCUAACUCCGUG
rnacentral:rRNA from 1 species